rnacentral:rRNA from 1 species
AUUGAACGCUGGCGGCAGGCCUAACACAUGCAAGUCGAGCGGAUGAGAGGAGCUUGCUUCUCGAUUCAGCGGCGGACGGGUGAGUAAUGCCUAGGAAUCUGCCUGGUAGUGGGGGACAACGUUUCGAAAGGAACGCUAAUACCGCAUACGUCCUACGGGAGAAAGCAGGGGACCUUCGGGCCUUGCGCUAUCAGAUGAGCCUAGGUCGGAUUAGCUAGUUGGUGAGGUAAUGGCUCACCAAGGCGACGAUCCGUAACUGGUCUGAGAGGAUGAUCAGGCACACUGGAACUGAGACACGGUCCAGACUCCUACGGGAGGCAGCAGUGGGGGAUAUUGGACAAUGGGCGAAAGCCUGAUCCAGCCAUGCCGCGUGUGUGAAGAAGGUCUUCGGAUUGUAAAGCACUUUAAGUUGGGAGGAAGGGUUGUAGAUUAAUACUCUGCAAUUUUGACGUUACCGACAGAAUAAGCACCGGCUAACUCUGUGCCAGCCGCCGCCGUAA